GACGAACGCUGGCGGCAGGCCUAACACAUGCAAGUCGAACGCUUCAGCAAUGAAGAGUGGCAGACGGGUGAGUAACGCGUGGGAACCUUCCCAGUGGUACGGAAUAGCCCAGGGAAACUUGGGGUAAUACCGUAUAAGCCCUUCGGGGGAAAGAUUUAUCGCCAUUGGAUGGGCCCGCGUCGGAUUAGCUUGUUGGUGAGGUAAAAGCUCACCAAGGCGACGAUCCGUAGCUGGUCUGAGAGGAUGAUCAGCCACACUGGGACUGAGACACGGCCCAGACUCCUACGGGAGGCAGCGGUGGGGAAUAUUGGACAAUGGGCGCAAGCCUGAUCCAGCCAUGCCGCGUGAGUGACGAAGGCCUUAGGGUUGUAAAGCUCUUUUGGCGGGGACGAUAAUGACGGUACCCGCAGAAUAAGCUCCGGCUAACUUCGUG
rnacentral:rRNA from 1 species